rnacentral:rRNA from 1 species
AUACGUAGGGGGCAAGCGUUGUUCGGAAUUACUGGGCGUAAAGGGCGCGUAGGCGGCACGGCAAGUCAGGAGUGAAAGCCCUGGGCUCAACCCGGGAACUGCUUUUGAAACUGCCGAGCUAGAGUGCGGAAGGGGCAACUGGAAUUCCCAGUGUAGCGGUGAAAUGCGUAGAUAUUGGGAAGAACACCGGAGGCGAAGGCGGGUUGCUGGGCCGACACUGACGCUGAGGCGCGAAAGCCAGGGGAGCGAACGG